ACUCCUACGGGAGGCAGCAGUGGGGAAUAUUGCACAAUGGGGAAACCCUGAUGCAGCCAUGCCGCGUGUGUGAAGAAGGCCUCGGUUGUAAAGCACUUCAGUAGGGAGGAAGGUAGUGUAGUUAACACCUGCAUUAUUUGACGUUACCUACAGAAGAAGCACCGGCUAACUCCGUGCCAGCAGCCGCGGUAAUACGGAGGGGUGCGAGCGUUAAUCGGAAUUACUGGGCGUAAAGCGCAUGCAGGCGGCCUGUUAAGUCAGAUGUGAAAGCCCGGGGGCUUAACCUCGGAAUUGCAUUUGAAACUGGCAGGCUAGAGUCUUGUAGAGGGGGUAGAAUUUCAGGUGUAGCGGUGAAAUGCGUAGAGAUCUGAAGGAAUACCAGUGGCGAAGGCGGCCCCCUGGACAAAGACUGACGCUCAGAUGCGAAAGCGUGGGGAGCAAACAGGAUUAGAUACCCUGGUAGAUAGCG
rnacentral:rRNA from 1 species